rnacentral:lncRNA from 1 species
UUUUUUUUUUUUUUUUUAAGGCCACACCUCUGGCACAUGGAAGUUCCCAGGCUAGGGGUUGAAUCAGAGCUGCAGCUGCUGGCUUACCACAGCCAUAGCAAUGCCAGAUCCAAGCUGCGUCUGCAACCUACACCACAGCUCAUAGUAACACCGGAUCCUUAACCCAAUGAAUGAGGCCAGGGAUCAAAUCUGCGUCCUCAUGGAUGCUAGUCAGAUUCCUUUCCAUUGAGCCAUGAUGGGAAUGCCCUUGGAUGCUCAUCUUUUUAAAAGAAAAUUUAGUAAGCUAAUAAAAAGUCAAGACUAGGGAAGAAAAUUUACAGAGCUCUUAAAAUUAUAUUCAGAAAAAGUAAAAGAAUCAUGGGAAAGAAACUUAAAGGUGAUAGAACAUAUCUUUAUAUCAUACUGAAUGCAUUGAUGUAGUGCACUAAGCAGAGAUUUUGGAGCGAAUUUGACACCUGGAACCACCUGUAGUCAGUUGAUUGAAAUAUGGGUUCUGUGGUGGCUCGUGCUAAAUACUGCUGAGUUGACUAAAAGUUCUUAGUAUAAAACAGGGACUAAUCCAAAGACUUUUGUAAAUAAAAUAGAAUAGGAUAGAAACUAUGUUUCCUGUAGAAAUAUAUAAGAAAAUCAGGUAAAUAAAUAGCCUGCAAAGAAGACCAAGAAGAAACAAACUGAAUGGGACUAAAAUCCUCGAUAACAAGUUAUCAGGGAAACCAGAUAGGGACUUCUUUGAAAAGGAAGUUCCAACAGUGUCAAAUGAGACCAGAAGUCAUGUAAAAUAACUGAAAAUGAUACUAGAUUUUCAAAUUACUAGGUCAUUAUGACCUCAGCAGAAACAGUUUCAAUGUGGAUAAAGCAAAGCUGGUUGAAGACUUGCUAGCGUGAAAGUAGAAUAAUUUAUGUAAUGCUUUCGAACAGUUCUCAUAAAGAAAAAAACAACUUAAUUAGGAUUUUUAAAGUGUUUUAUAUACACCUGGGUUAAAUGGAUAAACACAGCCUGAAUAAGUAUUUUAACAGUAAAUGUCUUAAGUUGUUUAUUAAAUUCAACAUUUUCCUCAAAUAAAUUUUGUAUAAUACAAAGUCAUAAACUUUUUUUUAACUAUCCAGGUAUACAGAAUUGUAUUUUGGUUUAUGACACACUCUUGCCACUGAUCCAUUCAGAACCCGUUUUUACUUAGUCCGUUAGCCGGUUAUUUUUAAUAAGAUAAUAAGUAUCUAUAAAGCCACGAACUAAUGCAAAAUUCAGAUCUUGACAACUGACAUCUAGUCAUAUGUACUCUGUUCACCCUCCUUCUCCCUCAACUAGAUGUAACUAUCAUCCGAUAUUUGGAUUCAUUAUUCCUUCAAUUUUCAUAUAUAUGUGUGUAUAUAAUUUUACAGGGAAUAUAUACACAUACCUUACUUAAAACUAUGUAUCUUUGUAUAUUUUAACCAUUGUUUUUUACUUUCCAAAUAGAACAUUAAACUCUGCAAUGUUUUAGAUUUAAUUACCUAAAUAUUUUAUUUGAUGUUAUUAAGCCAUGGUUCAUUCUUAUUGUUGAGAAUAUUGAACUCUUCAACAUUUGACAUUCUGAGACUUUUUAAUUUUUGCCAACUAAAUGAAUGUAAAUUAUAUGGUGGUCUUGAUUUCACUAAUUGCUAGUAAUAUUGGACAACUAUUAGAUUUAUGGUCUCAUGUGCUUCCACUUAUGAGAAAUAUUUCUUGUAUCUUUUGCCUUUUUUCAUUGGUUUGUAAGAGUUCUUUAUGUAUUCUUGAUACUAAUCAUUUUUUAAUUAUUUGCAUUGAAAUCUAAAAAUAUGCCACUUUGUAUCUUGUAUUUUACCUUAAAGGUUUUUAUGAAUAAAAGUUUUAUUUACAUGUCAAAAUUAUCAAUUUUUAAUAUAUUCAAUAUUUUUAUGUCUUAUUUAAAUAUUUUUCUAUCACUGAUUUUAUGAGACAUUCACCAAUAUGGUUUGACAUGAGGCUGACAGUUUUGUUUUUAACAUGUAUGCAAUUAAUUCAUCUGGAGUUAAUUUUUAUAUAACAUGUAAUAGGGAUCUAAUUUUAUUUUUUCUUAUUAAUACCAAUUUUAUGUCAUAGUUUAAUAAACAAUCUUUCUUUUGACUUCUGAUUUGUUAUUCCACCUCUGUCCUUUGAUUUAUUUAGGCUUUCUUUGAUUUCCUUCAUUAAUAUAUUAUUUUUAGCAUACAGAUCCUAUACAUAUUUAGAUAAGUUUACACCUGUGUAUUUCGUUUUCUUUGGAGCCAUUGUAAAUGUUACUGGUUUAAUUUUCAUUGGAGGGAAAUGAAAUGUAAUUUGGGUAGUUUUUAAUCUAGUAGCCUAACAUGUAAUUAUUUUUCAUUUAUAUAUAUAUAUAUAAGUAUACCUUGGAAUUUGUUUGGUGGAAUUGGAUUUCGUUGUGUAUUUGGGGGAGUUCCAAUGAAGUCUUAGAAGAAAACUGAUACCUUAUCUGUUCUCUUCAAUAGCAAGAGACUGAAUUUUUUUCACACACAAAUGCCAGACUAUUCUGCCUGGAAUUGUUUCUCUUAGGUAUUAUUGUUCUACUCAGAUUUUUUUCAAUAAGUCCCUAUUACCUGCAGAAUGAAGUCCAAAAUGAUGAAUUGUACAUCCCAGGCUCCUCAGAAUUUGCUACUAAACUACCUUUCUUAUCUUACUUUCCAAGUUUUUUUAAAUUAAUAAGUCAACAUUCUAGCCAAAUUCAAAGACUUACUUCAUCUUUUGAGAACUAUAAAUUUUCACUGCUAGGUGUCUUUGAUCCUGUAUCUUCUCUUCCUGGAAAUCAUUUACUCUCACUUUAUGCCAAAAAUCUACCUAGACUGCAGAUAAGAGUUCAAGUGACACAUCCUCCUAAAGCCAUCCUAAUUCCUUAAAAGAAUCACAAAAAUACUCAUUUGAAGUACACUGCCUACGACACAGACACACAGAUACACAGACACACACAUAUAUGUACACAUAUAUGUGUAUAUACAUAUAUAUAUAUACCUAGUUGACCCUUGAACAUUGAAGAGUUUAGGGGCACUGACCCCUGUGCAGUCAAAAAUCUGUAUAUAACUUUGAAUGCCCCCAAAUUUUACUACUAAUAGCCUACUGUUUACCAGAGGCCCUACCAGUAACAUAAACAAUCAAUUGACACAUAUUUUGUAUAUUAUCGUAGAUGUUAUACAUGUCACUAACACUAGACAUGAAAAAUUUUUUAAAAUAUUAAAAAGAAAUUCAUGUUUAUUUAGGUAUAACAAUUUAUGCAUUGAUAACAAAGACACAGAAAUAUGAUUGUUUUAUUGUUUUGUGGUAGUUUAUUGUAAUUAAUAUGAUUACUUCAUGGUAGCCUAGCUUACAUACUAAUGAAUGAAUUGUGAUAAAAUUUUUAUGGCAUUCAGUAUUAUAGUCAUAUUCGUAAUACUAUAUUGAAAACAUUGUUAUAUUUUUUGAAAACUACCUACUUGUGAUGAUAGGCUGACAUGCAGUUUCUCCAGUUACAAGAAAGAGAGGCACAUUGUACAAUAAUAGAAUUCUUCGAAAGCAAAGUUAUAAAACAGUAAGAAAACUACUAUGUUACUAAUUUUAUAUUGAUUAUCACUAACUUUAUGCAUAUGUAAGGAUAUACUAAAAUCUACAUAUAUUCUACUCAUUAACAGCAUAGGUAACUUUUUAAAAAAUUGUUUGAUAUUUCUAAGCUACACAAUUCACCUGCAAGUUUUUUCAAAUUGCCAUAAAUCUCCAAGAAAUUGUCCAACAUAUUUAUUGAAAAAAAAGCAGUGUAUAAUUGGACUUAUGUAUUCCAAACCUAUGUUGUUCAAUGGUCAGCUUAUAUAUAUGAACCUGUAUGCUUAUAUAUACCAUGUAUAUGUUAUAUACAUAUAAUCUUAUUUCCCAUAAGGUCAUUGAGAGUAGAGAUCAUUUCUGACUUUUAUAUUCAAGGCAGUAUCUAAAACAAAACUUGGAGGUAGUAAAACUCAAUUGACAUUCCUAGAUGAAUGCAUAAUUGAAUAUUUAGUACCAGAAUUUGUAAGUUUCUAUAUUAAUCAACUUAUAUUUAAGAAUUAAUUUAGCAAAACAUAUGGAACACUUGUACAGAAAAAAAUUUGAAGCUCUAUUGAUAUAUAGUUAAGUGACAGCUGAUUCUGUCCAAGAUGACAAAAUAGGGAUGGCUAGAUUUAAUCCCCCACCGGACACAACCAAAAAACCUGGACAAAGCAUAUGAAAUAAUUUUAAAGACACAGACAUCAGGCAAUGAUAGAUGACAAAAGGCAAACUUUCUUUUUAUAUAAAUAGUCCAGAUAAUAAUACAGAUAAUAUUUGAAAAUUGUAAUUCUGUAACUUCUAAUGAAUUAAUGAGGUGAAAAGAGAUGAUAUGCACUUUUAUCAGGUAUUUCCCCCAAAAUAAUUCAAUAAAUAGAAUUAAAUAUAAUCAAGCUUCUACAUCCAAAGAGCAACUCACAGAGAAUACACAGGACAGAAGAACAUGAAAAACUACACAACAGGGACAUAACUAGCAAAGUCCAAACUAGCAAGCCCUGGAAGUCCCAUUUCUUCAACAAAUAAAUUGCAAGGAAAAAAAAAAAUACACGAGGGGAAAAGUGGGUAAAAAGAAAGUGGUAAACAUAGGUUAAAAGAAAGUUAAAGACAUAUUUACAUCUGAUUUGAAGAAAAACACUAAAAAUUAUAUAACAUUUAUGAGACUUUGGGAAUUUUUAUGAAUUUUAGGAAUUAUAGUUAAUGCUUAGUUAUUUUCAAUUGCAGUUAUUUUUUAUGCCAACUUUAUCUUUUAGAGACAUGUGCUGAUAUAUGUAACAGUUGAAAUUACUACCAUUUUAUUGUGCUUUGCAGAUUUUAUGUUUUUUACAAAUUGAAGGUUUGUGGAAAUCCUGUGUAGAGCAAGUCUAUCACUGCUGUUUUUCAAACAGUAUUUCUUCCCUUCAUGUCACAUCUUGGUAAAUCUCAAAAUAUCUCAAAUUUUUCAUCAUUAUUAUGUUUGCUAUAAUGAUCUGUGUUCAGUGAUCUUUGAUGUUCCUAUUGCAAAAAGAUUAUAACUUGCUAAUAGCAUUUUUUAGCAAUACAGUAUUUUUUAAUUAAAAUAUGUACAUUGCUUUUUAGACACAAUGCUGUUGCACAUACUGAAUUGACUACAGUACACCAUAAACAUCAAUUUUAUACGCACUGGGAAACAAAGAAAGUUGAUUGACUUGCUUUAUUGUAAUAUUUGCUUUAUUGCAAUGGUCUUAAACACAACCCUCAAUACCUCUGAAGUAUACUUGUAUAAGAUCUUUGGCUUUUGAUUCAAAAUAUUACAGGAGGGAGGAAAGAGGUAAGGGAAUGAGCAAAACAAGAUUGGACUUGAAUUGAUAAAUCUUAAAGUAGAUUUGUCUGUAAUGAAAACGAGUUUCCUAAAGUUAUUCCCUCCACACAGGCAACUUCUGGGGCCCUGGUAAUGUCCUACUUUUUCCUGAUGACAGUUAUAUGGGUGUGAUCAUUUUGAGCUAAAUCAUACAUUGUGAACUUGAAUUUCAUCACUUUUCAGAAUGGGUUCAUGUACUGAAUUAAGAGAUCCUUUUCUUUGGCUCUCUCUCCUCUAGGAUGUUCCCUUCUCUCCCUGGAGUGCGAGGCUCCUUUCUGCGGUUUCUCUACCCUAGAGUUUCUCUACUUGGACACUAUUGAUAUUUGGACCAAAUACAUCUUGAUUGUGGGGAGAUGUUCUUGCAUCAUAGGAUGUUUAACAUCUCAAGGCCUCACCUCUAGUUGUACGGCCAGAAAUGUCUCCAGACGUUACAAAACGUCCCUGGUAGGGUAAAAUAAUCUGGUUGAGAACCACCGCUUUCCAGAAGUGGAACCUGUCUGGGCAGCACGCUAAUGACUGAGGCAAAACGUGGGGCAAGAUACAAGAAAAAAGAAAAAUAAAACCUCCUCUUCCAUGACAGUUUCCUUUCCAAGUUUUGACUCUUCUCCACAACCCAGAAAUUCUUAGGUAGUUUGGGGAUCUUUUUGUUUGACAUGUUUGUUUUUGUAUUUUGUCCAGGGUUUAUACUUGCUCAAGCCUUCUCAGGAAGGCUACAGAUAUACACAUUGAUAUAGGUAGAGUGAAAUUUUAAAUGUUCUUGUUUUCAGUAGAUAGAUUAGUGACUACGAGAAUUUCUAUUUUUCCAUGCUCUACGUGAUGUUAUAUUAGGUCUAUCUUACCAACCAGUCUUUAGUGUCAUUCUUUUAGAAUGUCCAGCAAGAAGCCCCUGUGUAUGUCUAUAGUGUAAAUACCUUUACAGCCACAUUCACAGCUGACUUUUUCAGGUAUUACAGAAAUCAGAAUUAGGGCUUCCAAGCUUUAGAAAGGCUAAGUCUCACUCUAACUACUCCUCGAGGCCUUUGGCUAGUGGGCAUACAUGGGUUCAUUCUGUAUUGAACCUAGAGCCAACUCAGAGGCUUCUACUCUCUCACGUUGGCCAACUAGGAUAAUAAUAUCGACACUGGUGUUUUCCUGAAACAUACAUGUGACACCAAUCUCAACACUAACUGGCAUAACAAGAACAAAAGUUGAAUCUGAUCUCAUAAAAUUCAGCUUCCCAAAUGUAGGCUUUCCAAAGCACACACACAC